GAUGAACGCUGGCGGCGUGCCUAAUACAUGCAAGUCGAGCGAACAGACGAGGAGCUUGCUCCUCUGACGUUAGCGGCGGACGGGUGAGUAACACGUGGAUAACCUACCUAUAAGACUGGGAUAACUUCGGGAAACCGGAGCUAAUACCGGAUAAUAUAUUGAACCGCAUGGUUCAAUAGUGAAAGACGGUUUUGCUGUCACUUAUAGAUGGAUCCGCGCCGCAUUAGCUAGUUGGUAAGGUAACGGCUUACCAAGGCGACGAUGCGUAGCCGACCUGAGAGGGGGAUCGGCCACACUGGAACUGAGACACGGCCCAGACUCCUACGGGAGGCAGCAGUAGGGAAUUUUCCGCAAUGGGCGAAAGCCUGACGGAGCAACGCCGGGUGGGUGAUGAAGGUUUUCGGAUCGUAAAACUCUUUUAUUAGGAAAAAAAAAAUGUGAAAGUAACUAUGCACGUUUUGACGGUACCAAAACAAAAAGCCACGGCUAACUACGU
rnacentral:rRNA from 1 species